rnacentral:tRNA from 1 species
GUGGCGGUAGCUGAACUGGUGGCGGGCCGGCGCGCUGCGGCCGUGCCAGACGCGGCCGCGGUAGAUCGUGAACGCGGUCAUGGCGCGACCACCGCC